UAAUUAACCUGACACUAGCCCUAGUAACCAAUACCUUACUGGUCUUAUUACUAACAAUAAUUACAUUUUGACUCCCACAACUUAAUAUUUAUAUAGAAAAAUCCAGCCCCUACGAAUGCGGAUUUGACCAAAUAACCUCCCCCCACCUCCCCUUUUUGAUAAAAUUCUUCCCAGUAGCCAUCACAUUUCUCCUCUUCAACUUGGAAAUCGCCCUACUACUACCCUGCCAUGAGCCCUUCAAACAAACAACUCGACACUAAUAAUCAACAUAGCCCUUAUACUAGUUACCAUUUUAAUCCUAGGCUUGACUUAUCAAUGAGCCCAAAAAAGGAGUAGAUUGAGU
rnacentral:lncRNA from 1 species